GAUGAAGAACGUAGCGAAAUGCGAUACUUGGUGUGAAUUGCAGAAUCCCGUGAACCAUCGAGUCUUUGAACGCAAGUUGCGCCCGAAGCCAUUAGGCCGAGGGCACGCCUGCCUGGGCGUCACACGUCGUUGCCCCCCCAUCUACUCCUUCGGGAUUGCGGGGGGCGGAUGAUGGCCUCCCGUGCGCCUCGUCGCGCGGUUGGCCUAAAUGCCAAGUCCUCGGCGACGCACGCCACGACAAUCGGUGGUUGCGAAACCUCGGUUGCCUGUCGUGUGCGGUCGUCGCGCAUCGAGGGCUCGAAAAAAUUGCCGGGCUUCGGCUCGACUUUCAACGCGACCCCAGGUCAGGCGGGGUUACCCGCUGAAUUUAAGCAUAUCAAUAAGCGGAG
rnacentral:misc_RNA from 1 species